UACGGAGGGAGCCAGCGUUGUUCGGAAUUACUGGGCGUAAAGCGCGCGUAGGCGGCUUUGUAAGUUAGAGGUGAAAGCCCGGGGCUCAACUCCGGAACUGCCUUUAAGACUGCAUCGCUUGAAUCCGGGAGAGGUGAGUGGAAUUCCGAGUGUAGAGGUGAAAUUCGUAGAUAUUCGGAAGAACACCAGUGGCGAAGGCGGCUCACUGGACCGGUAUUGACGCUGAGGUGCGAAAGCGUGGGGAGCAAACAGG
rnacentral:rRNA from 1 species